AGUGAACGCUGGCGGUAGGCCUAACACAUGCAAGUCGAACGGCAGCACAGCAAGAGCUUGCUCUUACGGGUGGCGAGUGGCGGACGGGUGAGGAAUACAUCGGAAUCUACUUUUUCGUGGGGGAUAACGUAGGGAAACUUACGCUAAUACCGCAUACGACCUACGGGUGAAAGCAGGGGAUCUUCGGACCUUGCGCGAUUGAAUGAGCCGAUGUCGGAUUAGCUAGUUGGCGGGGUAAAGGCCCACCAAGGCGACGAUCCGUAGCUGGUCUGAGAGGAUGAUCAGCCACACUGGAGCUGAGACACGGUCCAGACUCCUACGGGAGGCAGCAGUGGGGAAUAUUGGACAAUGGGCGCAAGCCUGAUCCAGCCAUACCGCGUGGGUGAAGAAGGCCUUCGGGUUGUAAAGCCCUUUUGUUGGGAAAGAAAAGCAGCAGGUUAAUACCCCGCUGUUCUGACGGUACCCAAAGAGUAAGCACCGGCUAACUUCGUG
rnacentral:rRNA from 1 species